rnacentral:rRNA from 1 species
UACGUAGAAGACUAGUGUUAUUCAUCGUUAGUAGGUUUAAAGGGUACCUAGACGGAAAUACUAGCCCAGAAUAGGGUACGGUAUUUCUAGAGUUUAUAAGAGAAGAGGAGUAUUCAUAGUGUAGAGAUAAAAUUUGUUGAUACUUUGACGACUGGUAAAGGCGAAAGCAAUCUUCUAAUCUAAAAAACUGAACGUUGAGG